UAUUGGUCAAUGGAGGGAACUCUGAACCAGCCAUGCCGCGUGCAGGAAGAAUGCCCUCUGGGUUGUAAACUGCUUUUAUCCGGGAAUAAACCUCACUACGUGUAGUGAGCUGAAUGUACCGGAGGAAUAAGGAUCGGCUAACUCCGUGCCAGCAGCCGCGGUAAUACGGAGGAUCCAAGCGUUAUCCGGAUUUAUUGGGUUUAAAGGGUGCGUAGGCGGCCUAUUAAGUCAGGGGUGAAAGACGGUGGCUCAACCAUCGCAGUGCCUUUGAUACUGAUGGGCUUGAAUGCAGCUGAGGUAGGCGGAAUGUGACAAGUAGUGGUGAAAUGCAUAGAUAUGUCACAGAACACCGAUUGCGAAGGCAGCUUACUAAAGUGCGAUUGACGCUGAGGCACGAAAGCGUGGGGAUCAAACAGG
rnacentral:rRNA from 1 species